rnacentral:lncRNA from 10 species
UAAGGCGGGCCUGAUGGUCAGAGGGAGGAGGAGGAUGGGCAGAGGGAGGAGAGUCUGAUGCCAGAGGGAAGAGGUUGAUGGUCAAAGGGCGCACAGUGAUGAUCAGAGGGAGGAGGAUGAUGGCCAGAGGGGGAAGGGUCUGAUAAUUCGAGGGAGGGGUCUCGAGGCUCCAUGUGAAGUAGGUCUGAUGACCAGCGCUCAAAGUUCAUAAGUCAGUCUAAUAACCUAAAGAACUAUGGACAGUAGAAAGAAUACAGCGACAUACAAGAGGGCUAUUACAUACUGGACAUUAUAAUCUGUGCUUCAAGAUAUUGUUGCCAAUUAUUACAGCAAAUUGCUAAAGUGAGUAUUAUUAUGACUUCUAUUACCCACAUGAAGAAACACAAGCUCACAGAGACUAGGAAACAGGCUCAAAGUCACUCAGCUAGUAAGUGAUAGGGAAUUUAACUCCCAUCUCUUUCUAGUAACUUAGGUUUAUUUUAUAUAAUAGAUGGGAGGUAUGCUUGUUAAAAUAAGUCAUUUCAAGAUCAUAUCACAGGUUUGUAGGCCACUUCUUCUUUCCUUGACUAUAUUUGGUUCUCUUUCCAGUGUGAUUUUUAACUGGAUCCUCAGUACCCGAAAUUCUUUACAUUUCCACGUCACCACUGCUGCCCCUCCACACCACGCCACCACCACCUCUGAUCAUUCUGGCCAUGCUACAGUCCUCGCUCAGAAACACG